rnacentral:rRNA from 1 species
AGCGAACGCUGGCGGCAGGCUUAACACAUGCAAGUCGAACGCCCCGCAAGGGGAGUGGCAGACGGGUGAGUAACACGUGGGAACGUACCCUUUGGUUAGGAAUAACUUGGGGAAACUCAAGCUACUACCGGAUAAGCCCUUAUGGGGAAAGGUUUACUGCCGAAGGAUCGGCCCGCGUCUGAUUAGCUAGUUGGUGAGGUAAGGGCUCACCAAGGCGACGAUCAGUAGCUGGUCUGAGAGGAUGAUCAGCCACAAUGGGACUGAGACACGGCCCAGACUCCUACGGGAGGCAGCAGUGGGGAAUAUUGGACAAUGGGGGCAACCCUGAUCCAGCCAUGCCGCGUGAGUGAUGAAGGCCUUAGGGUUGUAAAGCUCUUUUACCCGGGACGAUAAUGACUGUACCGGGAGAAUAAGCACCGGCUAACUUCGUGCCAGCAGCCGCCGUAA